rnacentral:rRNA from 1 species
CGCGGCCUAUCAGCUUGUUGGUGGGGUAACGGCCCACCAAGGCUUCGACGGGUAGCCGGCCUGAGAGGGUGACCGGCCACACUGGGACUGAGACACGGCCCAGACUCCUACGGGAGGCAGCAGUGGGGAAUAUUGGACAAUGGGCGAAAGCCUGAUCCAGCAACGCCGCGUGAGGGAUGACGGCCUUCGGGUUGUAAACCUCUUUCAGCAGGGACGAAGCGCAAGUGACGGUACCUGCAGAAGAAGCACCGGCCAACUACGUGCCAGCAGCCGCGGUAAUACGUAGGGUGCGAGCGUUGUCCGGAAUUAUUGGGCGUGAAGGGCUCGUAGGCGGUCUGUUGCGUCGGGAGUGAAAACUCAGGGCUUAACCCUGAGCCUGCUUCCGAUACGGGCAGACUAGAGGUAUGCAGGGGAGAACGGAAUUCCUGGUGUAGCGGUGAAAUGCGCAGAUAUCAGGAGGAACACCGGUGGCGAAGGCGGUUCUCUGGGCAUUACCUGACGCUGAGGAGCGAAAGUGUGGGGAGCGAACAGGAUUAGAUACCCUGGUAGUCCACACCGUAAACGUUGGGCGCUAGGUGUGGGACUCAUUCCACGAGUUCCGUGCCGCAGCUAACGCAUUAAGCGCCCCGCCUGGGGAGUACGG